AAGCACAUCCUCUGAGAGCACGUGGACCUGAGAGCAGCAGAGAACCCUCUGAGGUAACUGCCAGAGUUGAACAGAAGCAUCUACUGAAGUCAAUUUAGUACUAUCAGGCAAACAAGUUUCUACAAUUAUUCAGCAGUGGUCUACAAACUUCACCAAUUCGGACUGACUAGCAACACUGCCAUCACGAUGCAGAUAGUUAUUAAGAGGAUGUAGAAGGUAUUUCCUUCUGUAUCUCUGUUCCUUGCCUCCCUGGGUGCCUGCUCACAUCUUAAUACAAAGC